rnacentral:rRNA from 1 species
AUUCGAAUGAGUACAAUUUAAAUCCUUUAACGAGGACCAAUUGGAGGGCAAGUCUGGUGCCAGCAGCCGCGGUAACUCCAGCUCCAAAAGCGUAUAUUAAAGUUGCUGCAGUUAAAAAGCUCGUAGUUGGAUCUGGGUAGUGCGAUCGCAUGCUGUUGCUUGUUCACGGUCUUGGUUACGAUCAGGGCAGUGGUCAGCUCGGCGUAGUGGUUGUGCAACCUUUCAGCCGUGUCUGUGUUUUAUUAAACAGGUGUCGAUGGGUUAAUGAGUAUUGUAUCUUAUUGACCUGUUGGCAUGCUUUCGGAUGCCUUUAAACGGGUGUCGGGGGCGGACGGCAUCUUUACUUUGAACAAAUUUGAGUGCUCAAAGCAGGCCUAUGCGCCUGAAAAUUCUUGCAUGGAAUAAUGAAAUAGGACUUCGGUUCUAUUUUGUUGGUUUUCGGAUCCGAAGUAAUGGUUAAGAGGGACAGACGGGGGCAUUUGUAUGGCGGUGUUAGAGGUGAAAUUCUGGGAUCGCCGCCAGACAAACUACAGCGAAAGCAUUUGCCAAGAAUGUUUUCAUUGAUCAGGAGCGAAAGUCAGAGUUUCGAAGACGAUCAGAUACCGUCGUAGUUCUGACCAUAAACGAUGCCAACUGACGAUCCGCGUUGGUUCUAUAAUUGACAUCGCGGGCAGUCCCCGGGAAACCUUUAAGUCUUUGGGCUCCGGGGGGAGUAUGGUUGCAAAGCUGAAACUUAAAGGAAUUGACGGAAGGGCACCACCAGGAGUGGAGCCUGCGGUUUAAUUCGACUCAACACGGGAAAACUCACCCGGCCCGGACACUGUGAGGAUUGACAGAUUGAAAGCUCUUUCUUGAUUCGGUGGUUGGUGGUGCAUGGCCGUUCUUAGUUGGUGGAGCGAUUUGUCUGGUUAAUUCCGAUAACGAACGAGACUUUAACCUACUAAAUAGUAGACUGGUCCUCUGUGCUCGUUCAGGGCGCGGCUUCUACUGCUUCUUUAUGGAGUAGUGUGGUCGUGAUCCGACGGGUGCGGUGCCAGUUUUUACUUCUUAGAGGGACAAGCGGCACACUUAAGUCGCACGAAAUUGAGCAAUAACAGGUCUGUGAUGCCCUUAGAUGUCCGGGGCCACACGUGCGCUACAAUGACGGUGCCAGCGAGCCUGGAAACCUGGCCCGAAAGGGUUGGGCAAACUGUUUCAUCACCGUCGUGACUGGGAUCGGGGCUUGCAAUUAUUCCCCGUGAACGAGGAAUUCCUGGUAAGUGCAAGUCAUAAGCUUGCGCUGAUUACGUCCCUGCCCUUUGUACACACCGCCCGUCGCUACUACCGAUUGAAUAGUUUAGUGAGGUCGUUGGAUUGGUGUCGUUGUAGUGGCUUUAUCGCUGCUCGACUGAUA